ensembl:lncRNA
AAAGAAUUUAGUGUUUGUCAAAAUGAAGAAUUGCUUUGCUACAGUUAAUGUGGAGGGGGAUUGAGCUUAAAACUUUUAGAUGCUGUGUUGGUUUUAGACAUUAACUUGCAUAAUUACAGUACACUUUUCAGUAUUUUUUUUCUUCAGGUGUAGCCUCUGUUUUGCAUGGUGGUAAUGCGUAGCCACAUUCAACAAUAACUGAUGCCACUGAGCUCAGACAUUGAGAGGUCCUGGUAUUUGGAACAGCAGCAGUCCCUGUGCUGCCUAUUACCAAGCCCCCAUUACAUUACCCAGAAUGCAGCUGGGUCCACAACAAGAACCCUUUCCCCUUAGGGCGUGUCCACAGAACCCUCCUCUGAGGGUGUGGCCACAACGAGAACCCUCUCCACUGAGAGUGGCCAAAACGUGAAGCCUCUCCCUGAGGGCAUGGCCACAAUGAGAAUCAUCUCUCUGAGGGCGUUGCCACAACGAGAAGCCCCCCACUGAGAGUGUGGCCACAACGAGAAGCCUCUCCCUGAGGGCGUGGCCACAACGAGAACCUUCUCCCCUGAGGUGUGUCCAGAGAAUUUUCCACUGAGGGAGUGUCCAACAACAAGCACCCUCUCACCUAAGGGAGUUUCCACCAAACGAUCCUCUGAGGGCGUGACCAGAGAACCCUCCUCUGAGGAUGUGUCCACAACAAGAACCAUUUCCCGAGAGGAUGUGUCCACAACAAGAACCAUUUCCCCAGAGGAUGUGUCCACAACAAGAACCAUUUCCCCAGAGGGCGUGUCCAGAAUGUGAACACUCUCUGUGAGGGCGUGUCCACAACCACUGCCUCACAGCACAGUGGACUCCCAAGCACACUAAACUAUAUGUUCGGCUGGUAUUGUUGGUUUUCCUCUGGUCCUGUAGACCAGUCGUGCUCACAAACAGUUGCAGAUACUCUACCGCAAUCUACUUACAGCAUAUACAUAAACGUCAAGGACUCCAAUACAUUUUGCUUCGACAUUAAACGCGUGUACGAUGUAAAACGUCAUGCCUGGCUUGCCCCUUUCCUACAGCUACUACAACUGACGUUUCCACAAGUAAAGUGUGUGCAUUGUUAUGAAAGAUAUUUUUUUUAAAUGUG